rnacentral:rRNA from 1 species
UGCGUAGUCGGUAUUGAGAGUCGCGGGUGAAAUCCCAGGGCUUAACCCUGGAACUGCCUGCGAGACCUCAGUACUAGAGUGUGAGAGGGGAUAGUGGAAUACCCAGUGUAGCGGUGAAAUGCGUAGAGAUUGGGUAGAACACCGGUGGCGAAGGCGGCUAUCUGGCUCACAACUGACGAUCAGGCACGAAAGCGUGGGGGAGCAAACA